UAGUGGAUUAUUUCAACCGUUUAACAGGAUAUGGAUUGACUGUUGAAUUGAUUCGGUCCAUUCGGGUUUUUAAAACUGAUGUAUUUCUGUAAGAUAUUACUAUAAUUAUCAUAAACAUACGUCAGUGUGUGCAGCCGUAAACGGUCCGACUAGCACUAUCAACACCGUGGAAGUUAGCCCAACAAUGAAUGCACCACCAAUAGAUUAAUCUACUCGUUAACUGCGACAUGGAGGAGCUGACAACUCCUGUUCGGCAGCAACAUAAAUUCAGUGUUGACAGACUUCAAAGAUAUCUGUCUGUCAAGGCACGGGUGUCAAAUAAUGACACACUCACUAUCAGACAGUACAGCGCUGGGCAAUCAAACCCAACCUUCCUAAUCCAAACACCCUCAAACAACUAUGUUCUCAGGAAGAAACCCCCUGGUGAGCUGAUGCCAGGAGCUCACAAGGUGGACAGGGAGUAUCGGGUGCAGAAAGCUCUUUUCUCUGCUGGCUUCCCUGUACCUCAGCCUCUCUUGCACUGCACUGAUGUUGAGAUCAUUGGAACGGAGUUCUACUUAAUGGAGCAUGUGAGGGGGCGUAUAUUCAGGGAUAUUCGUCUCCCUGGAGUGAGUCCAGCAGAGAGAACUGCUCUAUAUGUGGCUGCAGUGGAAGCGUUGGCAAAGCUACAUUCACUGGACCUGGCAUCACUGAACCUCGAAGGAUAUGGAAAAGGAUCAGGUUACUGCAAGAGACAAGUGUCUACCUGGACAAGGCAGUACACUGCAACAGCCCACAGAGACGUUUCAGCCAUGAACGAACUGUCUGAUUGGUUGAUGAAGAAUUUGCCAGCCAAUGAUAACGAGGUCACGCUUGUCCAUGGAGAUUUCCGAUUGGACAACUUGAUAUUCCAUCCAACAGAGGCACGUGUUAUGGCACUGUUGGACUGGGAACUGUCUACCACUGGGCAGCCCUUGGCAGACUUGGCCUACUUCCUCAUGCCUCACUACUGGCCUACAGGCUUGAACAUCGUCAGCACAAUGGGCAGCUUAAAAGGAAUAGAAGGUAUCCCGACUGUGGAUGACCUGAUCUCCAUUUACUGCCGGUGCCGGGGUAUCCCAUGUGCUCUGCCACAGUUGAAUUUCUACCUGGCCAUGUCUGUCUUUAAAAUGGGAGGAAUUGCUCAGGGGAUCUAUGCCCGCCACCUUCUGGGUAAUGCCAGUGCUCCCAAUGCAGCUGAGUUCGGCCAGUAUGUGGAGCCCUUGGCUAAGGUUGCCUUGCAGCUUGCACACAGCAGGUUUGUCACAGGACCAACAAAGGAGGGUUUGUUCCUCCAGACAGCCAAAGGUCAAGCUGUUCUCCAGCAGGUCAAAGACUUCAUGAGACAAUACGUGCUUCCUGCUCAGGAGGAUGUUGCGGAGUACUACUCAAAACACGCUCAGUCUCCACAGAGGUGGCACCCCCCCCAAAUAAUAGAGGAUCUAAAGGUGAAAGCCAGGGAGGCAGGGCUGUGGAACCUAUUCCUGCCUUCGAUCAGUGGUCUCAGUCAGUUGGACUAUGCCUACAUUGCAGAGGAAACUGGACACUGUCUCUUUGCCCCUGAAGUCUUCAACUGCCAGGCUCCUGACACAGGGAAUAUGGAAGUGCUCCACAUGUUUGGCAGUGAGGAGCAGAAGAGAAAAUGGCUGGAGCCUCUGCUCAGAGGAGAGAUACGCUCCUGCUUCUGUAUGACAGAGCCUGAUGUGGCCUCCAGUGAUGCAACCAACAUGGAGUGCUCAAUUCGCAGGGAUGAAGACAACUACGUCAUAAAUGGCAAGAAAUGGUGGAGCAGUGGUGCUGGCAAUCCCCAAUGCAAAGUGGCCAUUGUGAUGUGCCGGAGCGGUCCUCAGAAUGUUAGCAGCAGGCAUGGCCAACACAGUAUGAUCCUCGUCCCUAUGGACACACCAGGCGUCAAGCUCAACAGACCACUCACCGUGUUUGGACAAGAUGAUGCCAUCCACGGUGGCCACUUUGAAGUGCAUUUUGAAAACGUGCGUGUCCCUGCCUCCAACAUUAUUCUGGGAGAGGGCAGGGGAUUUGAGAUUGCCCAGGGUCGUCUGGGGCCGGGCAGGCUGCACCACUGUAUGAGGGCUGUUGGUGUGGCCGAGCUGGCACUGGAGCUGCUCUGCCGACGGGCUACCUCCAGGCGCACAUUUGGAAAGAAACUGUACCAACAUGAAGUUGUUGCUCACUGGAUAGCAGAAUGCCGUCUCAUGAUAGAGCAGACCCGCCUGCUGACUCUGCAUGCUGCUCAUGCCCUGGAUACGCUGGGCAGCCGGGCUGCUCGCAAACAGAUCUCUAUGAUUAAGGUGGCAGCAGCCAGGAUGGCGUGUAAGGUGGUGGACUGUGCUAUACAGGUUCAUGGAGGCGCCGGUGUGUCUGGAGACGUUCCACUCGCACAGUUAUAUUCAUAUGUGCGGACUCUACGCAUUGCUGAUGGACCAGAUGAGGUGCACCUCUCCUCCAUUGCUCAUUUGGAACUGAGGGAUCAACUAAAGAAAGCACAGGCCAAGCUGUAAACUGACAUCACCUGGCCACAGCUGUACUGCUUUUCCAGUUUCCAUUUACUAUAUGCUGGGAAGAAAGCUGAUUUUGAUAAGCUUUUUGUGAAAUUUGCCUGUCAAAGGAGAAAAUGCAACAACAAAAAGACUAUUUAUUAGGAAUUCUUUUUAAUGUGAACUACAAAAACAGAAAAUGACAGCAUGAAUAUGACUAUUGUCAUCACACUUUGUACGGGUGCGGUCUACCACAUGGAUGAAUUCCAUUGGGAGGUGAUGGGGAAUCAGGACACACAAGCACAUUAUUUUUUGUACAAUAUAAAACAGCAAUGGCCCCAUCCAUUUGAUACACCAGAUGGCAACCCAUGCAACACCCUCCACUCUUCAUCGUCCAUCGUCUAUACAUUAACAUCUGAGCAGAGAUCUUCAGCUGCCAAAUCAUUCAGUCAAUCUUUUAUACAACAGCGCAGAAAAAGGGAAGGAGGAGGAUAGGCUGGUUUGGAGGUUGAAAGAAAAUGUGUGUCAGUGUUUGCUCUUCUUUGACUUUUUGUGAGACCGAUGGGGUGACCUUGAUUUGGAGCGGGACUUCUUGGUUGAUUUCUUGGGCGUCUUGGAACGCGACCUCCUGGAUCGUUUGGGUGUGCGAGGUGAGGGUGAUCUAGUGAGACACACAGGACCUUGUAAUUACAGCUAAAAGUUUCAAGGUAAAAACCUAUAGUUAACCAAAACGUGGCUCUAAUGACAACAUUAGGAGAAGCACUGGGCAGCUCUUACCUCUUAGAGGACUUUUUGUUGCUGGAUCGCGGCGAGUCUUUAUGGGUGGAGCGGGAAGAUGUGUCUUUAGAGUACGAGCGGUCGGAGCGUUCUGAUCUUUCUGACCGCUCUGAACGGGGGGAGGGCGACCGGCCUCGUCUGCUGCUAGUCCGCGUUGGGCUGGGUGACCCACUGUGACGCCGCUU